CUUUAACUCGCGUCCAGCUGGUUAAUGUGUCACCCACGUUAAAUAGUACGCCUAACAUCUGGAUCGUGCUCAGUUUAGUUCAUGUUUACAGAAUGUUUGUAGAUUAUACAAAUAGUGAGGUAAUAGUGCAUCGUUUCAGUCUUUGUUUAGGAAUGUGACUGGUCACAUGAUUAAAGUCAUAUGACUGAUGAGCCCACGAAAGAGGGAAUGAGAGCAGAAAUCUUCGACAGUUCCCAAUAAUACACUAAUACUGUCGUCUGUCGUGAUGAAUUCAGAUGGAUAGACAGAUGUGGCGACUCCUGAAGUAAACCGCUGGAUCAUGGAGCGUUUGGGAGUUUUGUCUGUUCUCGCCACCGCUUGUGUUUUUGGAGUGGUGAUGAGUCAGACAACACUCAGUCCUGCUGUGACGGUCACCAGAGUCAGUGCAAGCAUGAGCACUACAGGGCCCAGCUGCUCCGGCCUCAACACCUCCACCUGCAUGGCCUGCGCUCCUGGCUCUUAUUAUGAUAACCAAACUCUGUUGUGUUCCUGCUGUCCCGAGGCAGGCCUGUGUGUGUUACCUGGAGCCUGUCUUCUGUGCGUCCAGGGUUUCUAUCAGCCUCUAGCAGCACAGCAGGGCUGUCUGCCCUGUUCAUCUGGCUUUUACAGCAAUUCCACUGGAAGCCCUGUCUGCCAGCCGUGCCCUACUGGGUCCUACAGCAAUAACACAGGCUCUGCUUCCUGUACAGCAUGUGCACCAGGUUUCUACACAUCUUUGCAAAAUUCAACAUCCUGUAACCCAUGUCCACAAGCCACGUACUGCAAUUCCUCCAGCUGUACUCAGUGCCGGGUCUGUCCUGCAGGCUCAGAGGCUCUACAGACCGCUUCCAAACAAUGUACACCUUGUCGCCCAGGAAUGCACAAGCCUUCCCAACAAACCAUGUGUCAGAUUUGCAGCAGUGGUUUUUAUCAGAUCCACUGGGGCCAAGAGAACUGUGACCUGUGUCCUGAAAACCACUACUGCCCUAGUCCUGAUGUAAAUCCGAUCCAGUGUCCCACUGAUGCGUUCUGUCCUGAGGGCAGCACGGCCCCUGGUUACUGCAUGGAGACCUUCUUCAGAAAGGCAGGGGAGACGUGUGAACUCGCUCCUGUUACCAUUGCACUGCUUGUUAUUGGAGGAGGAGUGGGUCUUCUCUUCAUCAUCGUUUUGGUUCUGCGGAAGAGAAGAGAUAAUGACAGCGAGCUUUCCCUUGCUCGGACGCCCCUCCUGCGAAAAGACCGCACACCUGGCCGCUUCUAUGGAGUCCCUUGUGAUGCAGAGCCUGUUUAUGCAGGCUGGUGACAUUACCAAGUACACUGACCCGUUUUCAGCUGCACAAAUUUUGUCUGAAAGUUUCUAUUUAGAAUUUCGAACUGUUCUAAGCUUUAUAUUGGUAAGAUACUAUUAAAUAUUUAAUGAAUGAAGAGGCACUUAUUCCAUUUUUAAAACCUGUUUACUACUGACCAUGUUGUGGAGUUACGUCUCUUUUGAUUCUGACUGCUUUUGGAGUCUGGAAAGUAUGAGAAACCAUUCAGUAUUUUGUUUUCUUUUGUAUAAAUUUUGCACCGGAUAUUAUGUUAAGCCAUGGCACUGAAAGAAUUUUGGAGUAAGUUGCUGGAUUAUGCUUAUUUUGUUCACAGAUGUGUGUUUACUUUUUUUUUUGGUACCACUAUGUUUGUUUACCUAGGGUCCUCAAGGUAUAUUGUAUUAUAUACAUUUGCAGUAUUUCUUGUAUUUAACAUGUGAUGUCACAUAUUACUUUUAAAACAAAAUAUUUUGGACAUUUUCCAAGGUUGUAAACUGGAG
ensembl:lncRNA tumor necrosis factor receptor superfamily member 9-like